rnacentral:rRNA from 1 species
AUUGAACGCUGGCGGCAUGCUUUACACAUGCAAGUCGAACGGUAACAGGGUGCUUGCACCGCUGACGAGUGGCGAACGGGUGAGUAAUGCGUCGGAACGCACCGAGUAAUGGGGGAUAACGCAGCGAAAGCUGUGCUAAUACCGCAUACGCCCUGAGGAGGAAAGCGGGGGACGUGCGGGCCUCGCGUUAUUCGAGCGGCCGACGUCUGAUUAGCUAGUAGGUGAGGUAAGAGCUCACCUAGGCGACGAUCAGUAGCGGGUCUGAGAGGAUGAUCCGCCACACUGGGACUGAGACACGGCCCAGACUCCUACGGGAGGCAGCAGUGGGGAAUUUUGGACAAUGGGCGCAAGCCUGAUCCAGCCAUGCCGCGUGUCUGAAGAAGGCCUUCGGGUUGUAAAGGACUUUUGUCAGGGAGGAAAUCCUUAGCGCUAAUACCGUUGAGGGAUGACAGUACCUGAAGAAUAAGCACCGGCUAACUACGUGCCAGCCGCCGCCGUAA